rnacentral:misc_RNA from 1 species
UAUUAGUGCUAUAAUAGCUACCACAAACCGAAGUACCUUAUCUCCAAAAAGUUCCCAUACAAUUAAAUAACUUACAAAUCGAACGCUUGCAGAAAACAUUCACUAAAAUUGCGAAAACCAACCCAAUGAUUAAAGAACUAAAACUAUGAGUGCAGCCAAAAGACAAGGAGAAAGAUCAAUAAACAUGUGGUCACCGCUUUUUGUGAGGGAAGAAGACGCCCAAGCGAAGCCAGUUUAAGCCUUCUUGCCUUUCAAUGGGCCUUUUGGAAUCUUGCUCAAAACCUUCUCUUCAAACACAGCGUAAUGCUUUUUGAACUCGAUUGAUGCUUUUUCCGCUAAUGGGUCGAUCUUAUCUUCAUAUUUCUCAUACAGGACUGGGACCGUGUGCAACAAAACAAAGUUUAUGUAGAACAACGUCAAGAAAUUGCACCAGCUUCCCACAAUGGACAGAA